GACAGAGGGGGCAAGCGUUGCUCGGAAUUACUGGGCGUAAAGGGCGCGUAGGCGGGAUGGCAAGUCGGUCGUGAAAUCCCUCGGCUCAACUGAGGAUCGUCGAUCGAUACUGCCGUUCUUGAGGAUUGCAGAGGAGACUGGAAUUCCCGGUGUAGCGGUGAAAUGUGUAGAGAUCGGGAGGAACACCGGUGGCGAAGGCGGGUCUCUGGGCAGUAACUGACGCUGAGGAGCGAAAGCGUGGGGAGCAAACAGG
rnacentral:rRNA from 1 species